UACGAAGGGGCGAGCGUUGUUCGGAUUUACUGGGCGUAAAGGGCGCGCAGGCGGCGGACCAAGUCAGGCGUGAAAGCCCCGGGCUCAACCUGGGAGGUGCGUCUGGGACUGGUAUGCUAGAGUUCGGGAGAGGAGAGUGGAAUUCCCAGUGUAGAGGUGAAAUUCGUAGAUAUUGGGAAGAACACCGGUGGCGAAGGCGGCUCUCUGGUACGUGACUGACGCUGAGACGCGAAAGCGUGGGGAGCAAACAGG
rnacentral:rRNA from 1 species